CAACGUCAUUUAGCAAAAAAUCAAGUUCCUCUGGAAAUUAGUUGGCAACACUGAGCGGAAUGCGGCGAAAGUAUCUACUGGAUGCGGACGACUCGAAUGUGCUGCUCUGAAAUGCAGGACAGAUGCCAGGGAAGUCCAGAAGAAUGACACGUCUGCAUUACUUGUGACAUGACUUUCUGACUUCAAGGCAUCUGAACAGAAUCUCCACUUGGAGUUCCAUUCUGGAAUAGGAAUGUGUGCUGAAUACCUGAUUCCAGACCAUGAGACUGAUGCGCUUUGUGAAAAUCCAGGUUGGUGAAAUGUUAAAACACUGACAUCAUUUGAAAUAGUACCCCACUUCCCUUUAUAGUGCCCUACCUUAGACCAGGACCCAUGUACUAUAAAGGGAAUAGAGUGACUUUGGAUGCAGACUCUUUCACCUUUUAGCUGACCAACUGUACAAGAUGGCUACCGGGAUGUGCUACAGUCCCAAUGAUGAUUAACUUAGCUCACUUUGAACCGAUGUGAAACGACAUGAACUACUGAGUGACUGUAGCUAAUGCACCAGUUGUAUGUUUAAAUGUUCUUUGCAGCAAAACACUAAUUUCCUUUCUCAUUUUAACAGAUGUGGGAUGAAGUUUCCUGAAGGGAUUAACACGACCUUCACUGGGUUUGGGUGCUGUGGUUCGUGGCAUUGCAGCGUGGACUCCAACAUACUGGUUCUUCUGAAUGUGGCUGAACAGGGAGCCGUGAUGCCAACUAGACUGGUCCUGAUGGUGGUACCAGACUAGUCACUAGAAGAUGCCUGUUACUUAACUACCUCAAGGUCCUGACUGUUGUACCAGACUGGCCACUAGAAGCUCUUUGCUGUGACAGUGAAUGAAGAUGUGGAAUCCAAGUUAUUGUUUCUGCCCCUCUGGUUGAGGUCCUGGUGUCUGCAGGGUUUGGAAAGAUCUGGUUGGCUGCUGAAGUGUUGCUGUGCUGGUGGAGGGGAAGCUCUCCUGUUUUAUACCUGCAAGCCCUCUUGCUCUCCUGAUUGGUCAGCAAGGAAGUGGGAUGUCUCGUUGGAACUGGGGGAAACCAGGCCAAGUCAGUUCAACCUCACGACUGUGUUUUGAUGUGUGAAUAAAUCAACAAAUGUUUAUGCUUGUUUUCUUUCUUGGUGGUAAUAAAUCAGACUUGUUGAAUUUG